CGCAAUCCCAUACUUGGGCCUUUCCAGCUUCCUCAGUUUCAAACUAAGCGUAAAGAUACUGAAUCCUAGUUUCAGUUUCUCCUGUAGCGAGUUAUGGCUCAUAGAAGAGAAGAAAACAUAUUUUUGCUCAGGAGUUGAAGCAGGAAGCUUGCAGUUUUCGGACCAUUGUGGAUGUACCUCGUGUUUUGGACUGAAACACUUUACUGGAUUAUAUUCGCUGGACCCUAACGGACAGAAUGACACCAAACACGAGGUGAAUGGACGAAGUAUGGGGUUCAGACAGUCGUCAAAAGUGCCUGGCUGUUUUUUUACCUUAACAGUUGAAUCUUUUUUUUUUUCUUGGAACGAAUCCAUGUGAAAGCAGCAUCUCGGUGACAGGAGGCAAGUAAACUCAGAUCUGAUUAAACGGUGCAUAGAGCAACAUCAGCAGAGCUUUAAAACCCACAGAUAGAAUACUGAUGGAGGGUAAAAGGAAUGAAUGCACCAUUCAAUCAUAACUCCAUGAGCACCUGUCUGAUACUGGGUCGGUCUCUGUCAUAACAGUCCUGACACAUUAAGGCCUGGACUCCACUACAACCUGAAGCUGUGAGGUGGGGCCUCUGUGGAUCGGUUUAGUUUGUCCAGCUCUUUGCACAGACACUGUAACGGACUGAGAUCUGGGGAACUUGGAGUCUCAUCAUCCACAGCCAUCAGGGAACGUGUGUGAUCAGAAAGUGGACGUGUCUGCGGUAGGUGGUACGGGUCAC
rnacentral:lncRNA from 1 species